rnacentral:rRNA from 1 species
UCCAGACUCCUACGGGAGGCAGCAGUGGGGAAUAUUGCACAAUGGGGGAACCCUGAUGCAGCGACGCCGCGUGAGUGAAGAAGUAUUUCGGUAUGUAAAGCUCUAUCAGCAGGGAGGAAAAACCGACCUUAGGGUCGCUAGACGGUACCUGAUUAAGAAGCCCCGGCUAACUACGUGCCAGCAGCCGCGGUAAUACGUAGGUGGCAAGCGUUGUCCGGAUUUACUGGGUGUAAAGGGCGUGUAGCCGGGUUGACAAGUCAGAUGUGAAAUCCUGCGGCUUAACCGCAGAACUGCAUUUGAAACUGUUGAUCUUGAGUACUGGAGAGGCAGACGGAAUUCCUAGCGUAGCGGUGAAAUGCGUAGAUAUUAGGAGGAACACCAGUGGCGAAGGCGGUCUGCUGGACAGCAACUGACGGUGAGGCGCGAAAGCGUGGGGAGCAAACAGGAUUAGAUACCCCAGUA